UACGUAGGGCGCAAGCGUUGUCCGGAAUUAUUGGGCGUAAAGAGCUCGUAGGUGGCCUGUCACGUCGGGUGUGAAAGCUUGGGGCUUAACUCCAGGUCUGCAUUCGAUACGGGCUGGCUAGAGGUAGGUAGGGGAGAACGGAAUUCCUGGUGUAGCGGUGAAAUGCGCAGAUAUCAGGAGGAACACCGGUGGCGAAGGCGGGUCUCUGGGCCGAUACUGACGCUGAGGAGCGAAAGCGUGGGGAGCGAACAGG
rnacentral:rRNA from 1 species